AGAGUUUGAUCCUGGCUCAGAGCGAACGCUGGCGGCAGGCCUAACACAUGCAAGUCGAACGAACUCUUCGGAGUUAGCGGCGGACGGGUGAGUAACACGUGGGAACGUGCCUUUAGGUUCGGAAUAACUCAGGGAAACUUGUGCUAAUACCGAAUGUGCCCUUCGGGGGAAAGAUUUAUCGCCUUUAGAGCGGCCCGCGUCUGAUUAGCUUGUUGGUGGGGUAAUGGCCCACCAAGGCUACGAUCAGUAGCUGGUCUGAGAGGAUGACCAGCCACAUUGGGACUGAGACACGGCCCAAACUCCUACGGGAGGCAGCAGUGGGGAAUCUUGCGCAAAUGGGCGAAAGCCUGACGCAAGCCAUGCCGCGUGUAUGAUGAAGGUCUUAGGAUUGUAAAAAUAACUUUCACCGGUGAAGAUAAUGACUGUAGCCGGAGAAGAG
rnacentral:rRNA from 1 species